CAGAAAGUAGAUGCAGAAAGUGGCAUGCAAAGCAUAUCACUGUUACGUACUUUGGAAUAUAUGUACUACAUUAGAAUUACAUUAGAUAGUAUUCUAGUAUAUGCGUGAAUAUUUUUUUAUACGAAUGAACAACCUGAUGACAAAAACAACCAACCAACCAUCCGUUCUAAAUGCCAUCCUAGUGAACAAAGCGGGCAGUUACGUAUUCCCGAUGUAUUCACAAUCCAACAGAUGUGUCCACUUACCGGGCUGAAUAUUCACUACAGUCAAAAGCAAAAACGAUGUCAUGCCUGCUCCUCUUGUUCGCUUCACUGCAAAACCACUUCCUCAAGAGCAUCCUUCUUCCUGUGAGGUGUUUCAAAUAAAUGUUAGCAAUUGAAAUGUACAACCCACAAGUGGAACAGUGUAUUGCUGUCCAAACAAUCUGGUUCAUGUUCUCUUUGUUCAGAAUCUUGUACUUACAUGCAUCACCUUUAGUCUUGAACUGUGAUAAAAGCUAUUCAAAACAGAGCAGAACUCAAAAUAACACAGAAAAUAAAAAUCCAAAGGCUUAUCUUAUGCAAUGCCAUUGGGAAACCCAACCCCUUAAAUUGUAUGCUCAGCAUAAAAAUCAAGAUGUGCUUCUGCAGACUUUUAAAUAGAAGCACAAGCAAAAACACCUCAAAUAAUGGUCACUAAAACAGAAAAAGUAAAACAAAUAGAAGGAUGAAGCUGGCACAGAUGUGGGAGACGGAGGAGUUUGAUUAUGAAGUUAUACAAAUACCCUGUGAGGGAUUGUUAUUGAAGGUUAUAUUUGUAGAAACAAACAGGAAAAGAAAAUAUUUAUGAUAAUUCGGGCAAGUGAGUGCAGCAGCCUUCCGUGCUAUUGCUGUAGUCUUCUCAAGGAAACAUCCGGAUGUCACACCUCAUGACAUUAUAAGCCUGAUCAAGCAUGUGUAAUCGUUAUUGGAUGAAAAAAAGAACUGGGUCAUCGUCUUGAGACUUGUAAGAUAAUCUUAAGGGAACAGAAAACACUAACAGUAAAUAUCUCCUCAAAUAUCAACAAAAAGGUUACAGGGAUCCUAUUACAACAUCACUGAGGCUUUGUGGUGAAGGUGAAAGACAAAUAUUCAAUGCAAAACUAAAAGCUACUCUAUUAAGCCUAGACUAGACUAAAGGGUGAUCCACUAAAAUCGGUAAAUAGAAAAUAACCAAACUAGGGACACCUGGCAAACAAAUGAUACGUUUACAGCUUUUUUUAUGGACUUGUUUAUUGCAUCAUCACCUGCUAAAUCACAUCUCAGUUGAAACAUAAAAAGUCCAUUUAAAGAACUUUUGCAGCGUGCUUGCUUAAUUUCGCAUUGCUUGUGUAAACACAGAAGAUGCAAUUAACAGUCAGUUUAUACUGGGCUGGAUCCAAUUCCAAGUGAGUCUCUGUUGUGUAGCCAAGCUGCUUUGUUUUUCUGUUAAAUGGAUGGGCACUCGGGUUGAGUUAGCGAUGCGGGCUUUCUGAGGGUCCAGCAUGCUGUUGACAUGGCUUUGCAUGCGUUUACAUGAGUGAGGAGCGUGCACUGUUUUCAUAAGCACUGAAUGUACCGUAAACAGCACAUGGCUUGCCUGGGGGGGGAAGUACGUAUGUGCAGGAUCAAAAUGUGAAUAUGUUGACAUAUAUACAACAACUUACUCUGCAAAAACGAUGAAUUUCACUUUUUAAGUCUAGGCCGUUGGGCAUUCUUGUAGCGGAAAGGCAUCACAAAUUAGGGCCCAUUUAAAUCCAAAAAAGCAUGUACGUGGCGCUAAUGAUUUACAAAUGUGCCUUAUUAGAGAGAACCUGAACAAUGCCUCGAGCAACACAGUCCGAACUGACCUUUGUUUUAACCUAACAGUGUAAAUAUUUACUGGUAUCCAAAUCUGCACAUUAGCAUUUUCCUAGCAGCUGCUGUUGUUACACAUACAGUAUCGUAUUUUCCGGACUAUAAGGCGCACCUAAAAACCUAAAAUCUUCUCAAAAGCUGACAGUGCGCCUUAUAGUCCAGUGCGCCUUAUAUAUGGACUAAAUUUCUAAAUUCAAACUGGCCCGAAACAUUGUGUCAUGAAAUCAAGCAUAAGUGGCCUGCUGAAGACUAUGAAUCAUGAAUCAAAAAUACUAUGGAUCAUUAUUUUGUGAUUAUAAAGUCAUUUGUUGCAUCUGAAGUUGAAAUAAAAAAGAUCAAAUGGAGAAUGAUUAAAAAUCUGACAUGAUGCAUUACUGGUGCGCCUUAUAGUCCGGUGCGCCUUAUAUAAGGAUUAAGUUUUAAAACGGGCCAUUCAUUGAAGGCGCGCCUUAUAGUCCGGUGCGUCUUAUAGUCCGGAAAAUACGGUAAUUAUAAGCCAGAUAAAAAAUAUUCCUUAGGUUUCCUAAAUGAAAUAAUAGGAAGGUACAGUUUGUCGUUUCUGCACAAGCUCUUCAGCUUCAUAACACACAUACAAACAAAGAUCAGAUCGGUAUUAAGUUAAUCAGCAGACCUCCGACCGAAGAGAUAUUUCCAGAUCUGAGGUCACCAAUCUUCCUUUAUCUUUAUGAAAGGGGAAGUCAGAGGACAUCAAAAUCUGUUUAUGCCAUUUACAAGAAGAGCGGGGAUGGAACAGAACAGAGUGAACUGACAUAAACAAAGACAACCAGACCCUGUUUUGUUAUUGUAUGCAUAACAGCAAGUGAGAUGCUAUCAUAAUGUGGUAAAGGGCUUUGAUUUCAUUCAGUGAGCAUUGGAUGACUGAAACUGCUUCAUUUUUUUUUUUUGUAGCCUUUGUACAAUGAUUUCAUAGUCAUACACAAAAAGCAGUGUUUAGAUCUUAAAAGAAGUCCUAUUGGCCAUCCCUUUGUUUUUAGGAGUUACUACUAACUGUGGUGAUUUUAUUUGCACACUUAUACUGUAUGCCUGUUAAGUAUUCCUGCAAAGAUGGCUGUACAGAUCAACGCUGAAACAGAUUUCUUCCAUUUCUGUCAUUUUCUGUCUGCAAUAUUGGGCUGUUUUUAUAGGGAAAUAUUUUCCAUAUCACUUACCAGCCAAUCAAAAUAGUGCUGCAUGAAAGCUGACUUAAAUUUGGAAGCCAUAAAACAAAACAAAAAUCUUUGCAACAGGAGACUUUGUUAUUAUAAAGUGUCAGUGUUCAAAUAAACACUUUUGUAUAUAUCAUUAUCAUUAAAAAAAAAAAGAUAUGAUGUAAUGAGUUUUAUUUAGUGCCAAAAUCGCUUUGGCGGUUUUAUAAUGACCCUUGUAAAAUAUUCCAUUGUAAUAUAGCAAGCCCAACACAACUUGUUAUGAUCCUUUGCUAACCUUGAACACAUCCAGAAUUUCUUAAGAAUAAAAGUGCCAUCGGGAAUUCGUUCCAUUGUUUUGUAAUGAAUAAAUGCCGUCUGGCAGUGUCCUUUCCUGUUUAAUACAAAACUGUUUUCAUCCACAAUAUCCAACAUAAAAAGACAUUUGCAGCCACAUCCUGCAUCAGGGUUUGUCCCAAAACAAGCAAACCGUAUCUGUUUGAUUUGAUGCUACGCCUACCUCAGGUUAAUUAGUAGCGCAAAGGUCAAGGUAAUGAGGUGGAAAGGAGCAGCAGUUCACUUAAGAGCUGCACUCUCAUAGGCAAUAACCAAGACAUCCGCUCUCCUGCUGGUCUCAAAACAACAUGAUAAGGCCUUGUGAUUAGGUAGAUAGAUGGUCUUAGUAUGCGGCAUUGACGCUAAUGGGGUCAUUGCACUGACAUCCAUUAACUGGAAUCUCUAGGGUCAUUGCAGCAGUAUAGUAAAAACAUACAGAACCCCUAGAGUUUUCCAACGUCAUGUUCAGCAUUAAAGAUCUCGGAACUUCGGGUUUCUAAAUAUAUUUUGCCCUCUUAUCCAGUCUUACAUUUUCCAUGACCAAUAUCAUUCGUGGCACUGACAAACUGACAUGUUUUAGAGCUGGUAAGACAUUUUCCGUUUCCCUGGUGCCCUUUACAAAAUGUUUAAAAGGUAGUAAUAAUAAUGAGAGUUGCUUUGUUUUGCCAUUAAGGUGCAUUUAAGUAGUAUGUGAAUAAUGUAAUCAGGAAGCAUUGAGAGACUCAAGGGACGUUGUCAGUCCCAUCUGCUGCUAACCAGCGAUUACAGUCUCACAGCCACUGCCACCUGCUAUGUCAUGUGAUUGAUCAACAUGUUAUUGACCAUCUAGUCAUCAAUGUGCACUCUCUAAAUCUCUCAAACAAAUCACUCUGAUUUUAACACAGUACGAUGCAAUAAUAAUUCAUUCAGUCAAAGAAAACCACCAGCAUUGUCAUCACUCGCCUCUGUAAAGGCCAAAAUUGAUAGAGCUCUUUCAUUUGAACUCAUUGGUGUCCCUAAAAAUGGAGUUUACGGUUAGAGUGUGAAUAGUGUGUCGAAAACCAGGAAAAUAGUGCAUACAAAAACAAGCUGUUCUGGUUCUUCUAAAAUGAAUGAGGACUGCCCGUUUGAAUGAGUUAUUUUGUCAUGCAACUAGCUCCCUCUUGUGGUCAAGUACUUUUACACUUUUACAUCUCAAUACCAUAUUUGCAACUUUUUGUCAUGUAUUAAAAUGGAUUACUAGCUCCCACUUGUGGUCAACUACUUAUACACUUUUACAUUUCAACAAUAUUAUAUUUGCAACUUUUUGUAAUGUAUUAAAAUGGAUUACUAGCUCCCACUUGUGGUCAAGUACUUUUACACUUUUACAUUUCAACAAAACCAUAUUUGCAACUUUUUGUAAUGUAUUAAAACGGAUGAUUUGACCUUUUCAUCUUUUCAUCAUAUAAUCAUAUUGUUACGGCAACUAAUUCACUCAUUUGAUUUAGUCGGACCCCAAAUGCUAGUGUUAAUAGUUGUUAUUAUAAGACACAAGACACAAUUAUUUGACAUCUAUUCAUUGGUUACCUCCAAAGAUCCAUCUGUCGAGGCAGAGGCGUAUCCAGGAAUUUUUCCAGUAGGGACGCACGCCCACAGGAAAAAAAAUCGAACAUCACCCACGCCGUUUGCUGAUCGCUAAAACAACAUACGGGUCCGGGAGGCAAACGGUGAAUGGAUACCAUCGCGCACAUAGAAUAGCGCAAGCACAUUCGCGCAAGACCGAAAGAAAAAAACGGCAUGAAAAUGAAGAAUCGAAAAAGCUCGAUUUUUUUUUCAACCGGGGCGCAGGGAGUCCUAACCGGGGCGCCGCCCCUGCUCGGCCCGGCUUGGCUACGCCUCUGUGUCGAGGGUAGAUGAGAAUUGGCCAGAUAGUGGAACUGCAGAUAUUUCUACAUUUUAUCCUUCCACUAGAUGGAAGCAUGGCCCAGUUCCUGCAGUGAGCAGCUUGCUGCCUGCUCACUGCUGACGCUUCGCCAACCUCUGGAACUUGACAACACCAAUCACUCUAGAAACCUUGUAUUACGACGAAUACUCAUCUAUAAAUUUGUAGGUAAAUUAGUUUAUAUGUAAGUUAUUUAAAAAAAUCACCACAGAUUGUUGAGGCUAUUCAGAUCCCACUUUUUUUUGUGCUGGAUGUUUGAAGAACAUCUUCAUCCACUCUAAUUGUCAUCUCCAUCAUUUGCGAAAUAUGCUUUGGUUUUGCAUUUAUGUGUAUUUUUACCUCUCAACUUCAAGCAUGUACUAUUUACAUGCAUGAAUGCCAAACAGUCCACCAUGGGACGCACCUCUCAUGUUUUAUUUCAUGCUCAAAUGCACAAAGUCCCUUAACACACACCUAGUCAAUAUUAGUCUCAAAGCAUGUUCGGAUCUAGUCAAGCAAAAAUGAUCGUUCUUCUACUUCUUACCACUCGCUUCUUGUAAGUGAAAAGUAUUUGACAAACCAUCUGACAUAACUUAGGGACAGAUUUAAAAGUUUACUUAAUAUGUUGAUGUAGCCACUUUCAGUGAACUUGAAUAAAAAUGACCUGUUUCUUGAACACCCAUUUUCUCUUCUUUCUUCUUUUCAGACAAAUAGACUGACUAAAAAAGAUUUAAGGAAAAUAUUUUGCUUGCAAUAAUUGCAUCAAUCAUGUGAGCCCAUUAACAUUAGCAACUUUUGGCUUUCUCAUUUUCUGAUAUUUCUCCUGGCAUUUUUUUCUCUUUCAGUGGGUGUUUGUUUUGGGGAUAAUUUCCGCCAGUCUCCCUUUGCAGAUAAAAACACAUACUACUUCAUUGGGUUUAAGUCUGAAGGAGCUCCUAGUUAUUUCCCUUAGUAAAUUUUACAACACAACACAGUUUUGUUUUGGGGUUAUUAUCAUGUUGCACGAUUAAGUUUGCCUACAUCAUUCUUGAAAUGGGCAGACAAGAUUUCUGUACGUUUUUGACUUUAUUUUGCUGUUGUCCGGCCCAAAGGAGGCCACGUUACCUCCGCUAAGUUUAACGGACGAGUGUGGACGGAUUUCUAAAUCACAUCUGUAAAAAUGCUGAAAGGGUCAACAAUUGAUAACAAAGCACAUUAAAUUUAAAUUAAAUAAAACUUCAACUAGUCCAAAACUCUGCUGCCCGCCUCCUUACCCACACCCGGUCCCGUGAACACAUCACUCCUGUUCUCCACUCUCUUCACUGGCUCCCCAUGAAGGAGCGUAUCAUCUUCAAGAUACUCCUCCUCACCUUCAAAGCCCUUCACCACCUGGCUCCCACUUACCUAUCCGACCUCCUUGUCCCCUACUGCCCCAACCGUCCCCUCCGAUCCUCCAAUACUUCACGUUUGACAGUCCCAAAAUCCAAACUCAAAUCCUUCGGUGACAGAGCCUUCUCCUGCACAUCACCCCGACUCUGGAACUCUCUCCCCCAGUCUGUCUGUGACUCACCCACACUUCCCAUAUUUAAGUCCCGUCUAAAAACAUACCUCUUCUCCCAAGCUUAUGACCUCCCCUACCCAUAACUGCUUUCCUCCUCUUAAGUUUAUCCGAUUGUUUCCUCCUCCCCCCCCCCCCCAUGUAUGUCUUUGCAUUGUUCCCUGUAAGCGUCUUUGGGUUCUUGAAAAGCGCUAUACAAAUAUAAUGAAUUAUUAUUAUUAAAUCCUAAAGGACUAGCACCCAUAAUGACACAUUUUGAGAGACGGCCACGUAGUGUCCAACCAUCAGAAAUCAUGUUGAAGUCGAUACACACAGCAUGUACAGACAGAGAUGCCGAGGUCUGCUUGUAUUGAGGUCUGCUC